AACUUGCCCGACACAAGGGGGAGCGGUGGAAGAUCGGUGGAAGGUCGUUCUCUCUCCGUUAUCCGUUGCUGUAGGGUGGCAUUGGCAGCCUUGAGAUUCUGCAUUUCCACAUUUAAGCUCUGGACUGCUGCUACAAGUUCCUGUACUUGCUGUGGCGUAGCCAUUUCAACUUCAAUUAGGCGUUGCAAACUGUCACCAGGAUCGGUGAUAUCCUCGCCAGAGAACGUAGAAUCCGAUUCACCACCCUCCCCUAACUCCUCACCUUCGACUCUUCUUCCUGUACCCUUAUUUCCUUUAAUUCUUGGUUGCUCCUUUUUUAUGUAGGUAGGGGCGCCCACGGAAGGAAGCCACCGUGACACCCAAAAAGGGUUUCCGGUGCCUCCUCCCGGGAACGCCGGGAAGGGGAAAAAGCCAAAAGGCACAAAAAACUCCUAAGCGACCUGUGUGACUCUCCUAAGGAAUGAGCUGGAAUGCUGGGAGAAUGCAGUCGGCUGAAGCUGAACUCCGUGGUAGAAAGGAUGAGGCUCCGGAGGAAGGUAGACAGUAAGUAGUACGGAAUCACACAAGGAGAACCAAGUCCAUAGGUGGAGCACAAAUGAAUGGGCAGUCCUUAAACAGGCCGGGAUCUGGUACACGGGAGAUCACAGAGGAAGGUAUCCGAAUAAGAAGAAUCAGCAAUCCAAGAAAACAGGCCUAGGUCUGGUACACAAGGAGGCAGGCAGGAGGAGAAAAAAAAACAGGAAGGGGAAAAUUAAGGAGGAAGGACGGAAGCAGAGAAGGGACGGGAGAAGGAGGGUGGCGAGAAAAGAGGAAGGGAAAAAAAAAGGGGCAGCAGGCAAGACAAGGGGAAGAGGACAAGGACCCGAUAGGGAUCGGGUAUACAGCAGCGAGUGCGAGCGAGGGAAGAGCAGGCAAAAAGGCAGAUGGCACUAACGGAGGAAACCGGAAGCGUUGCAACGCGUACACAACCCGGAAGGAGCUGUAUUUAUACUCCGGGCCGCGUAAGCGCGCAUACGCACGGUCCGAGCUGCAGGUGGGCGUGACAGGCUACCAGCGUGCACGGCAGAAUAAUGUCCGCGCCGCCAGCGGUUCCACAGGCGCCAAGUGCCGCGCGGCAUGACACAUGAUCUCAACCUAUUCCAAAACUUUAAAUGGGUAAGAAGCCUGGCGUGGAGCUGGGCAUCGAAUGCAAGUGCCCAGUGGGCAACUUUUGGUAAGCAGAACUGGCGCUGCGGGAUGAACCGAAUUCCGGGCUAAGGCUGCCUAUGCACAUCGGACCACAGAAAAGGUUUUGGUUGAUAUAGACAGCAGGACGGUGGCCAUGGAAGUCGGACUCCGCUAAGGAGUGUGUAACAAUUUACCAGCCGAAUCAACUAGCCCUGAAAAUGAAUGGCACUGGAGCGUCGGGCCCAUACCAGGCCGUUGCUGAGAGCUGCGGGGGUUAAGCCGUGACGAGAAGGAGGGCCGCUGCGGUGCGCACAGAAGCCCGGGGCUAGGGCCCGUGUGGAGCCGCCGCAGGUGCAGAUCUUGGUGGUAGCAGCAUAUAUUCACACAAGAACUUUGAAGGCCGAAAGUGAGAAGGGUUCCAUGUGAACAGCAUGAACAUGGGUCAAUCGGUCCUAAGAGAUGGGCGAGCACCAUCGGAAGGGACGGGUGAUGGCCUCUGCCGAUCUACAGGGAGUCUGGUUCAGAUCCCCCUAACCCGGAGUGGCGGAGACGGGCACCCCCGCGGCAUCAGUGCGGUGAUCGCGGAGAAGCCGGCGGGAAGCCCCGGGGAGGGUUCACUUUUCUUUGUGAAGAGCAGGGCACCCUGGGCCUUAGAAAGCGUCACGGUUCCGGCGGCGUGCGGUGAGCUCUCGCUAGUCCUUGAAAAUCUGGUGUAGAUGGUGUAAAUCUUGUGCCGGGCCAAACCCAUAUCCGCAGCAGUCUCCAAGGUGAAUAGCCUCUGGCAUGUUUGAACAAUGUAGGUAAGGGAAGUCGGCAAAUCAUAUCUGUAACUUUGGGAUAAGGAUUGGUUCUUAGGGCUGGGUCGGUUGGGCUGGGAUGCGAAGCGGGGCUGGGCGCGUGCCAAGUCUAGAUUGCGAGCUUGGCCCUUCCUGUGGAUCACCCUAGCUGCGGUGGUUGCCUCUCUCCAUUCCCCUCCCAGGGUUCGGGGCCGACGUUCUGCCUCGGUCAACGCCUAGCAGCUGACUUAGAACUGGUGCGGACCAGGGGAAUCUGACUGUUUAAUUAAAACAAAGCAUCACGAAGGCCCACAGUGGGUGUUGAUGCAAUGUGAUUUCUGCCCAUUGCUCUGAAAGUCAAAGUGAAGAAAUUCAAUGAAGUGUGGGUAAACAUCGGGAGUAACUAUGACUCUCUUAAGUUAGCCGAAUGCCUUGUCAUCUAAUUAGUGAUGCGCAAGAAUGGAUGAACGAGAUUCCCACUGUCCCUACCUACUAUCGACGGAAACCAAGGACAAGGGAACAGGCGUGGCAGAAUCAGCGGGGAAAGAAUACCAGAGUGAGCUUGCCUCUAGUCUGGCACUGUGAAGAGACAUGAGAGGUGUAAGGUAAGUGGGAGGCCCUCGGGCUGCCGGUGAAAUACCACUACUCUUCUCAUUUCUUCACUUACCUGGUGAGGUGGGGGGCGAGCCCUGUGGGGCUCUCCCUUUUGGAUCCAAGCGCUUGCCAUGCGCGACCCGCUCCGGGGACAGUGGCAGGUGGGGAGUUUGACUGGGGUGGUACACCUGUCAAACGAUAACACAGGUGUCCUAAGGCAAGCUCAGGGAGGACAGAAACCUCCUGUGGAGCAGAAGGGCAAAAGCUUGUUGGAUCUCGAUUUUUAAGUAUGAAUCCACAUGAAAGCGGGGCCUCACAAUCCUUAUGACUUUUUGGGUUUCAAGCAGGAGGUGUCCGAAAAGUUAUCACAGGGAUAACUGGCUUUUGGCGGCCAAGCAUUCAUAGCAACGUUGCUUUUUGAUCCUUCGAUGUCAGCUCUUCCUAUCACUGUGAAGCAGAAUUCACCAAGCGUUGGAUUGGUCCCCCACUAAUAGGGAACGUGAGGUGGGUUUAGACCCUUGUGAGAAAAGUUCAUUUUACCCUACUGAUGAUGUGGUGUUGCAAUAGUAAUCCUGCUCAGUACUAGAGGAACCGCAGAUUCAGACAUUUGGUGUAUGUGCUUGGCUGAGGAGCCAAUGGGGUGAUGUGGCUGAACGCCUCCAAGUUUGAAUUCCCCCCCCCCCAAACCGUAACGAUACUGCAGCGCUGUCGAGCCUCAGUUGGCCUAGGAUAGCCUGCCUCUGGGCCGGUGCGUAGAGCUGCUCACCUCAGGACUCUAGUGUGGACAGAAGGGGGCACCUCUCUCACCCGUAGUGCACCGCAUGUUUUUGGGGAACCUGGUGGUGCUAAAUCAUUCGUAGACAACCUGGUUCUGGUUCAGGGUUUCGUAAGUAGCAGAGCAGCUACCGCACUGUGAUCUUUUGAAAGUCAUCCUCUGAGCCAACCUUUUGUCGCAAGGCG
rnacentral:rRNA from 1 species